CCCAGCCUAUGCCGAGAAACUGUAUCGUCUUCAAACAUCGAGGGUCUCUCUCCCCGACUAUUCCACUUUAUCUUCUCUAAUGUCUGAUUUUUUUUCCUCAAUUACUUUCUCAAUCAAUAAUGAACUUAAAGCUAUUCUUGAAUGUUUUAUUCCACCUCCCUUGAAUAUAGCUCUCAACCUACAAAUCUCCAGUCGUUGUCUACUUCUGCUGAAACCACCCCCAAGAGAGAAGCUAAGGCACAUGAGGUGGUCAAUGGAACCGGAGCUGAGCUUGAUCAGAUAAGGUCGGAUGUCUAGAGUCUAGAUAGACAGAAGCCAUCGGCGGUGACAACUGUUCUUAACAGCGAGAUAGCCAAGGCUAAAGCUAAAUCGGACUGAGCCAUGGAGAAUAAGGCGGACUCUUCGACAAUAAGUUAGCAAAGGAAGGUGAAAACUGACUAUACCUUUGUUGUGGAGUUGACAAUUUUGGACGAAUAAUGAGAUUCUUGGGUUUGGUUUUGAAACAUGGCUUCUCUUAAGCUUGAGCGAAGACAUGAGCAACCAUGAACGCGGUAUGGAGAAGACCACCGAUCACUUACAUCGUCAAACUGUGAACUCCAAGAAGAAUUGUCUGACGUGGAGAUCAAAGCUAGGGCAGCAAUUGGAGCUGUUGAGGCAGCUCAAAACCCAAGCAAUCUCAAGGUUAUGAAAACUCAGAUUAUGCUUAUUGCUUACGAAAGCCAAGGCCACCAACCCCAUGAAGCUAACGGUUCUCACCAGGUACACAUAAGCGAUGUUGGUAGAAAGAUAGUAGCUUUACUUGGUCAUCUGUUAGGAUUCCUCCUAUAUUAGCUUGGGAUAAUUAUCUACUGUUAGCUUUCUUAUUAUAAUUGUUUGUGUUUUACAGUUUCUCUACAACACUGCAACAUACACAAAUCCAUAUAACCUAAACUCAUUGCAUAGAUCCACUGCAUCAAACGCGAGUAUAUAUAAAUUGUGAGCUAAUGUUACGUGGGAAGUUUGUGCUAUAGAGAGAAGAUAAGUUUUCGUCACUCUGGUGGAAAGAGUAUGCAGAUUGCAGCCAAGUCUCUCUACCACAAGUCGUUCCUAAAAAUAAACCGAAUAAGCAUUGAAAAUCAUUUAGAAAAUUUUGUCUACCGAAUAAGCAUUGAAAAUCAUUUAGAAAAUUUUGUCUCUUCUACUCUAUAUGAAGUUGAGGAGGAGAGGUUUGGUGUACAUGUUAAGGGUGGGCUAAAUGAGGAACCAUAAUACUGUUGGUGGACUUGGUGAGGAGGCAUUGUUUCCUGUGUAUGGAAUGGAGAUAAUCGGCCUGUGCUUAGAGUCCAGAAACUGUUACAGAACACUUGGAGCUUCCAUAUCAUAACAAGGAGAACGAGCCCAAGAACUGGAGAGAUCGCUAGAGCUCAAAUAAAGGGUCUGCAGAGGCGCUAAAUUUUAAAUUGAGAUGUUAUCUUUUUUGUUUGUUUUAGUAUAUCAGUUUGGUCUAUGAUGUUUAAAAUUUAAAUCCAUGUAAGUUCUCGAUAUUUUUAUGAUAAUCCAGAAAUUCCAUUUGAUUUGACACCCUUUCCCUCAUUAG